rnacentral:rRNA from 1 species
UACAGAGGUCCCGAGCGUUGUUCGGAUUUAUUGGGCGUAAAGGGUGCGUAGGCGGUCUGCUAAGUUUGGUGUGAAAUCCCGGGGCUCAACCCUGGAAUUGCAUUGAAUACUGGUGGACUAGAGUACUGGAGAGGAAACUGGAAUUUACGGUGUAGCAGUGAAAUGCGUAGAGAUCGUAAGGAAGACCAGUGGCGAAGGCGAGUUUCUGGACAGUAACUGACGCUGAGGCACGAAGGCCCAGGGGGAGCAAACGGG